rnacentral:rRNA from 1 species
AGUGAACGCUGGCGGUAGGCCUAACACAUGCAAGUCGAACGGCAGCACAGGAGAGCUUGCUCUCUGGGUGGCGAGUGGCGGACGGGUGAGGAAUACAUCGGAAUCUACUUUUUCGUGGGGGAUAACGUAGGGAAACUUACGCUAAUACCGCAUACGACCUACGGGUGAAAGCAGGGGAUCUUCGGACCUUGCGCGAUUGAAUGAGCCGAUGUCGGAUUGGCUAGUUGGCGGGGUAAAGGCCCACCAAGGCGACGAUCCGUAGCUGGUCUGAGAGGAUGAUCAGCCACACUGGAACUGAGACACGGUCCAGACUCAUACGGGAGGCAGCAGUGGGGAAUAUUGGACAAUGGGCGCAAGCCUGAUCCAGCCAUACCGCGUGGGUGAAGAAGGCCUUCGGGUUGUAAAGCCCUUUUGUUGGGAAAGAAAUCCAGCUGGUUAAUACCCGGUUGGGAUGACGGUACCCAAAGAAUAAGCACCGGCUAACUUCGUGCCAGCAGCCGCCGUAA